rnacentral:misc_RNA from 1 species
GUGAAUCAUCGAAUUUUUGAACGCAAAUUGCACUCUUUUUGGAGAGUAUGCCCGUUCGAGGGUCAGUAAUAAUAAAAUCGGGGUGUUGCUCUUUUGUGACACAAUGGAGUUUGGGUUACCUUUGACUUUCGGGCUUAAGAGGUCUAAAAUUGAACUUUUUUGCGCAUUUUUAGAUGUACAUAGAUUUAUUUUUAUCGUCUAUUCUGGUGCAAAUUAUCUAUUAGGUGCGAUCAUGUUUAUAUGAUCACGUGCUCAUAAUUCUCAUCUUGUGACUUCAAUUCAGGU